rnacentral:tRNA from 1 species
GCAGCAGUGGUUCAGUGGUAGAAUUCUCGCCUUCCACGCGGGAGACCUGGGUUCGGUUCCCAGCCAAUGCA